rnacentral:ncRNA from 2 species
ACUUUGCAAACAGAUAUUGGUUCAGACAGAUUACUGCCUGUUUGAUUAAAAGGGAAUCGGGUGUAAGUCCCGAACAGUACCCGCUGCUGUAAUCUCCUUGUGUUAUCUACCAAUGAAAGCCACUGGCGUACAUUGACGUGCGACGGGAAGGUGUAGAUGAUGGAGAAAGUCAGAAGACCUACCAAAUCUAAUUAUCGUUG